rnacentral:rRNA from 1 species
UACGUAGGGUGCGAGCGUUAAUCGGAAUUACUGGGCGUAAAGGGUGCGCAGGUGGCCGCGCAAGUCGAGUGUGAAAUCCCCGAGCUUAACUUGGGAAUUGCGCUCGAAACUACGUGGCUCGAGUGUGGCAGAGGAAGGUGGAAUUCCACGUGUAGCGGUGAAAUACGUAGAGAUGUGGAGGAACACCGAUGGCGAAGGCAGCCUUCUGGGCCAACACUGACGCUCAUGCACGAAAGCGUGGGGAGCAAACAGG